AGCUGCUUUGCUGGGACCGCAUUUCCUAAAGGACGUACAGUUCCACACCCCUCUGACCCAAAGCAUUGUAAUCUGUAAAAAUUGAUGAUCAAGACAGCCCCCGGAUAAUCAUGGAUCAAGGGCUGCUCUACACAAUUGUUGCUGUGGCUGUCUAUGAAGAUGUCAUUAUAGGACACAAAGUCCAUGCAGCUGGCUUCACAAUAAAGUGGAAUUCUUUGCAGAAAACUGAUGAGCUGCCAGCUUCUAGAUCCAAGAAUGGACUUUCCUCUUCCUUGCCUUCUAUGAUGAAUGUGAGGCUUCCCCAGCCAUGUGGAACUAUUCUAAAAACUGCCCACAUUCCUUGGCUCAUGGCCCCCUUAACUCUUCAAGGCCAGCGAUGGCCACUAGAGUCCCACAUCACUGGCAUACUGACAUCCAGAUUUAAACGCUGCAGCACAGCACCCUGCACAAGGAGAAGGCUGACACAGAGCUUCUAUUUUUAUAUGUUUAGUGAUAUAUCCAAGUGUCACUCAACAACAACAGGAAAGGAGCGACCGAGCUGA
ensembl:lncRNA